CCUACGGGGGGCAGCAGUGAGGAAUAUUGGUCAAUGGGCGCAAGCCUGAACCAGCCAAGUCGCGUGCAGGAUGACGGCCCUACGGGUUGUAAACUGCUUUUAUACGGGAAUAACGCGCCUUACGUGUAGGGCUUUGCAUGUACCGUAAGAAUAAGGACCGGCUAAGUCCGUUCCAGCAGCCGCGGUAAUACGGAGGGUCCGGGCGUUAUCCGGAUUUAUUGGGUUUAAGGGGAGCGCAGGCGGAAGUUCAAGUCAGCGGUAAAAUUGAGGGGCUCAACCCCGUCGGGCCGUUGAAACUGGUGUUCUUGAGUGAGCGAGAAGUAUGCGGAAUGCGUGGUGUAGCGGUGAAAUGCAUAGAUAUCACGCAGAACUCCGAUUGCGAAGGCAGCAUACCGGCGCUCAACUGACGCUCAUGCACGAAAGUGUGGGUAUCGAACAGGAUUAGAUACCCCGGUAGUC
rnacentral:rRNA from 1 species